GUCCGGACAGCUCAGGCGGUAGAGCAUUACGCAAUUAACCUAAGGGUCCAGGAUUCGAGUCCCUGUUCGGGCG